rnacentral:lncRNA from 1 species
CAUGGGCACUCCCCAUUUGUUGCAGACUCAAUAAUCUCCCUUGUGUGACGACGGACAUCAAGCUUGCGUGAGAUGCAGACCCACAUCCUGAUAUCAAAGCCUUCUUCUAUCCUCUUGUCAUUGUAGACAUACUGCACUAAGGUGGACUUCCCCAUUCCGCCCGCACCAAUAAUGGCCAAACUGGAGUACCUAGUCGAACUUGCCUCGUCAGCUGCUGUCUUGCCAAGAAGAAAAUCUAAUAUACGAUCGCGAUCCUUGUCACGACCGAAAACCUUUGAUGUGGAAAGUGAUGUCACUGUGGUUGGAGGAACAAUGGUUGCUGGUACAGCUGGCCACCCUAAACCUGUAGUAUUUCCAGGUGCUAUGCUAAGAAGAUCCCGAAGCUCCUUGGCUUCUGUUAGGAUAGCUUUGAUCUCAUUCAUCUUGCUAAUUAGCCUUCUAUUCUCAGGGAGCAAGUUGCGUGCCUUGCUCUUAGCAGUAUGAAAAGGCUUCAUGAUUGUUGAUGCAAUGGAGGAGGUUUCAUCCUCUCCUAGCAGGGGAUCUUUUCCGCUCUUGGCCUUGCGCUUGAGGAGAUUGUACUCAUGCUCGUCCAGCAGGUCCUCAGCAUCAUAAAAGGCUUCUUUGAGCCGCCGAAGCCAUGCCUCGAGCUUGCCCUUAUGGGGGCUCUUCUCUGCUGCUUGAAUCACCAGAUCAAAUUGUGGCAGGACGGUGGCUUCUAGUUUUUGGAGCUCACGCACCAUGUCCACACUGAGGUAAGCUGAAGCUUCGUUAAGAAGCUUGUUGAAAAUGGGCGAUGCUGCCCACCUUAACCCAGCGAGUGCCAAGUCUGCCAUGGAAUUGGAGUGGUUUGUGCUUCUCCUUUGUGGGUGUGGACUGGAGAGAUCUUGGAUGAAUAUUUCCAGGUGAAAAGAAGAGGACAAUUGAUUGGCAAUGGCACGAAAUGAUUGUGUUUUUCUUGGAAAUGUAAAUGAUGGGAAACAAGCAAAGAGUACAAUUAAUAUCUUUUUUCCUUCCUUUUUUGGGGUUUUCUAUUUUUUCUUUCUUUUUUUUUGUCGUAGGAGUGAAAUGAAUAAGUUGAAGAUGCAGGGUGCAAGGGUCUGGUGGCGAAGAGAAAGAUUAAACAGGAAAAGAAAGAUGAAUGGAUGGACAAUGGAAGCUGUUUUCUUUUUUAUGUAUGGACGAGGUGCUUCUGCAGAAGGCAAGUUACUGAUAAGGACAACAACGGAAUGAAGAAAACCUGGAAUUAAGAAGACGCAUAGAAUUAGUGAUUCUGAUUGGGAAAAUGGAAGACAAAUUGAUUAUUUUUCUUUCUCAUGUGCUACAGCACACAGAAUGAAAUAGCUACUAACAAGUUAGCACAACAAACUAAGGAGAUUGGUGAUCUUACAUGGUUUUGCGGGAUGAAGUUACACCAAGUAAAAAAAAUCAAGGGCGCUGGGAGCAGAGUUGCUGGAGCCAGUGUUGACAAGGAGCACGAGGUGGCCGGAGUGGUGGACGGGACUCUGGAACAAGCACUGCACUUCAAGAGAACAAACAGGCAGUCAGCCAAGAAUAAGGUAUAUACGCUGGCAGCGAAGGAGGGAAAGGAAGAAGCAAGGAACAAUACCGGAAAAGCUUGGCAGUGCUGAUUCCUGGUGAUGAUCUUUUUAUUAAGAGAUUGCUGGUGAUGAUCUGUUCUGCAGUUUCACGGUGAGGACACCGAUGGUGCUGCUGGCCUUCUGCUGCUUGCUGGGAAAAGGAAGAAGAAAGGAAAUUGGAAGGUGGAGAAAGAGGAGUAGACAAGGUCUAUCGAUUGGGACUUCUCUGAAAUAGGAGUUUGUUGGGACCUGCAUUUGGUGUGAAGUACUAGUCAGCAUAAACACAGACAAAGGAAGCUUCUGGGUAGCUUCACUAGGUUUCUAUCCUUGAGAAAGGAACGGUUCAACCAUAUCCCCCCUUGCAAUAAAUGAAUGAAGGCGAACACAGAGUAGACAAGGUCUAUGAAUUCAUCAAAAACGUCAUCAGCAGUUUUGCAACUCAAACACUACCUAAACAACUCGUUGGAAAACAUAGCCCAAACGAAAAGCAAGGCGCACAUACGGCCACCUCACCUGUAUCCAGGAAAGGGUGGAAUGUGGUCACCUCUCACAUGGAAAAUCACAUAAGAUGAUUUUUUUUUUUAUUCCAUAACCCAUAUAAGAACUGAUCAAAACACAAAAGGAUAGAAAAAUUUUGACUGACCACUGACAGUGUCUUGCACUAGUACUGCUGCUUCUUUGUGAAAGGAAUCAGCCUUGACGCCUAUGCUACUGCUCGUCGGUGCUGCUGUACUAGGGGCUGUGGUGCCUGUGUCGCCUCUCCUCCCCUUCCUCUGCCGUGUGGUCGGUUCCUCCCUUGAGCACGGCCGGCGCGCGCCGCAGCUGCCGCAGUAAAAGUAAUCUCCGAGGCGGCGAGACCUGACUCCGGCAACCCCGGCAACAUGGAGGGUUCAGCGUUCAGCCGUCUUGUGCGGCGCCGGUGCUGGAACACAACACAAGAGAAUGGCCGAACGGGGGACGGGGAAAUGCUGAACAGAACAGGAACGGAUAUUGCGGUUUUGGACUCGGUAACUAACUGUCUUCAUCGCUCGUUUGAAGCAGAGCAGCAGGAACAAUGGCUGCGCAGUCCCCUUCUUCUGCUUGAAUAAGGCUAUUCCAACAGGAGACCCAAAUGUAAAAUCUCUACUAUAAUGGAUCAAUUAGAAUUAUAUUAGAUCCCCAAGUAAAACCUUUUCCACUGAGAGCCUUCAACCAUUGUGCACCUAGUAAAAUUAAAAUGUACACAGUAAAUUAUCUCUGUUAAAAUCAAGGGCUACAAAAUAAUUGCUCAUAGACCUCAACUCAAUCUGAUGGCCAUGAUCACUUCCAGGCUUCAACGCGACUCCCAGGCUUCAACACGCUCGCGUCCCUCGACGCAUGGCCUCCACCUCCCCAAGCGCGACUCUCAGGCUUCAACACGCUCGCGUCCCUCGACGCAUGGCCUCCACCUCCCAAAGCGUGACAGGCAGGAUUCGAUCCCUGCUACCACGAAAAAAAGAAAAACUAAAAAAUAGCGUAGCAGCAUGCACGGGAGGAGGCGCACCCGCCGUUCCCGGCGGCGAGGUGGCACGGGAUCGACGGAGAAACUAGGGGCUGCGGCUGAGGGCUUGGCUCCUGCAGAGCUUCGGUGGCUGCGCAGGUCGACGACAGACCCCGGCCAGGGGCGGUAGCGGCGGCAGCGGCGGAGGCGCGGUCACGGCGACCCAGCCAGCGGCGGAGGAAGGCGAGGCAGACACAUUGGUGGGAUUGGUUGGGUGCGGUCGCGAGGUCUCGGAGGAGCUGCUGCGCAUGCUGGUGGAAAGCUAGGUAGUCUUGAGAUAGCGCACUACGCGCACGAGGUGUUCGUGCAAAUGCUUGGCACGGCCUUGUCAAAUCCUUUGCUCCCCUCCGACGUUGCUGCCAUGGACUCCACGCUAGCACCUGAAAUGGCCCCCGAUGCCUCCUAUUCCGCCGCCACCGCUGUCCCGACCGCCGAGGAUCUCGUGGGGGCGUGGCAGUGAUGACCUUGGAUGAGCAGUUCGAUCUGCUGCAGGGAUUAGGGAGAGAAGUGCAUCCAGGAGGACGAGUUCAGGCGCCUGCUUGAUAACAAGCCUGUCCCCAUCUACUACGAUGGCUUCGAGCCUUUAGAGGCAUGCACAUCGCACAGGUUUGACCUUCUGUCUUCAGCCCCUGCCUCCAGGGCAUCAUUAGUAGAAAAAAUGAUAAGUUUGCAUGAUUCAGCUAAAGAUAGAUUUGGCUGCAUCGCCAUUCUAAUUUUGUAAUAGCAUGUAGAAAGAGACCAUCAUUUAUAAUGGCACAUAAGGAAAAGACUUAAAUAAAUUGUGUGAAGGUUUUAAUAGCAUGUAGAAAGGGACCAUCAUUUAUAAUGGCACACAAGGAAAAAGCUCAAAUCAAUUGUGUGGAGGUUCAAUGAAGCUACAAAAAUAUAAAAGAACAUAGAGACCACAUGACAAGCAUUUACAGAGGGAUAUCAAAUACCAGCAACAAGAACAAGAGAACGGAAGCACAUUUUUUAAUUUAGAAACACGUGACAGCAAUUGUUUAUUUUUUUCUUUUUAAUUAAAAAAGAUAAAGGAACGAAAUAUUCCAGACUCCAGUUCGCUUCACGAAAAAUGAAAACCAUAGCCACAGUUUAUAUCAUCAUAGGUUAUUUAUUAGAGACUCAUUCUAUUAGAGGAAAUAGGAAUACAUGUAAGCAAUUAAUUAUGGGCGUUGCUAAGGUAUAACUCUUACCUAGUAAGAGGUAAGAGUUCAAAUAAAUCCGAGCCAUUGAAUAUUAGAAGAAAUAAAGUAAGUAGUAAAAAGGAAAAUAAAUAACAUAUUGUUUCCGUUUAUUUACAUGUGUACAUGCAAUUUGUUUCCUUUUAGUUGCAACCAACGACUACAACUUCAUGGAAGACCAUCGGGCAAGAGAUGGUUUAGAGUCAAAAUUCAACUUUCCAAGACAUGCUAUUUACGUUUCUUAUUAAUUGCGCAUGGUCACAUUACAACUAAAAAAAUGUUACAUCACAAUCACCUACACUAUGGAUUGAAUAAGCUUUACUUUUUUAUAAUGUCGAAAACGAAAUGAAUUUAAAUUUCUCGUUCAUUCGUCACGUUCCAACAAAUUAAUUAAAUAAAUUUUACAAAAUCAUUUUGGGUUACAUAUUAUAAAUCAUUGUGUUAUUAUAUAUACAAUAAAAUAAAAUGGUUGCACACGUGUGAACUAUGUCACCCCAUAGUGUGUCCAUGUCCAUGUUAUUAAAAACUUAAGAUCAUGUUAGGAAAGUUAGAUCAUGCAUGCAUAUUAUAUACAUAAUACGAAGGUAUUUUCCUUAUAUAUCUUAUUACCUCUUGCAAGGUAAUAUUUGACAAUUGCUACUCAGAUCGACGAUUCACAGUUAUUUAGGUGUACCAUAGCAAGACCCAUUAUUCAUAAUCAAGGAAUAACAGUACAAGUGAAAUGAUAUAAAUGGAACCACCUUCGUUCCUCGCAAGUACCAACCGUGGACUGUGGAGGGUCGCCAAACAGAGAACCAAGGGUACGGCAUCACCAACAGAUCGGCUUCUGAUCGACUUCAGCUGGGUGGUGAGUCUGCAGAGACGGGGGCGCUGCGGCAUUGGGGUCACCACGAGGUGUCUGUUUAGAACAUGAAAUGAAAUGUUUUAAAUAAAAUAUUCGAAACCUUAUUCAUUGUGCUGGAGAAUGAAUCAGUGAAACCUAUACCUUCUCUCAUUUCUUUCAAGCGGCGAUAUUAAACGAAGUGCUUCCAGCGGAUGUGUGAAAUCUGUGGCCAGCUUUCUCCAUCAGGCUCUCGGCAGUUCUUCUUCAAGUCGUCACAACCAUAUAUAGUUAUGCGCUGGAGGGAGGAUGGCAGAACUGGUAAAGAUGUUAUGUUGGGGCAAAUGCCGAUAUCAAGACUCUCCAGACUGGAGAGAAAUUUUAGAUUUCCUGGCAGGGACUCCAUUUUGCAAUCCCAAAUGUCCAGGUGCUUGACAGAUAAGAGAUUUGCACAUUCUCCAAAUGAAGCUGACGGCUCCUUGCAAUCAUGAAGAGCAAGAUUUGGUGGGACUAUAAACCCUUCAGCCUUGAGCAUCUGGUUGAGCAGUACGAAACUACUAACGCUGAGCCAUUUCUGGACACGAAACUGUGAGAUGCACUUGGCAGUGAGGUUUGGAACAUCUAUCAAACUUAGGCCAUCAAGUUGCCAGGAAGACAAGCCUUCAAGAGAGCACAGAUCGGGGAGACGAAGUAGAGAUAAUGAUUCAAGGGAGGUCAGGUGGCCAAUCGAUAAGGACGGGAAGCUUCUGCAACAUGCAAUGGAAAGAGAUUUCAGGUGUGGCAAGCCAUUAAUGAACGAAUCGGCUGCCAGAAUGCAGCCACAUAUGUAGAGGUCUCCAGCAAGGUUGAAUGACAUAGAUUCUACUGCACCUGCCAGAUCUAAAGAAGGGCAAUCAAUACAAUAAAGUCUGGAAAGAGAUGGAGCAGCAUGUGAGCCCCCCAGUGAUCUGAGACACCAACAACCUCUUACAUCCAACAAGUCAAGCUUUGUCAAAUGCUCAAACACCUCUUCUGACGGAAGUGCACUUAAUGCCAUAUUAUAUUCCAGUCUUAACGUUGUCAAUGAAGUGAGGCCACCAAGGCAAAUAGCUAAAGCUUCAUCUGUAAUACUGCAUGAAGAAAGAACAAUACUAACAAGUCCAAAUGGUAGAACCAGUGGCAGCUCCAUGGUCCUUCCAUAAAUGACUCUUAUCCUCUGCUCAUGGCAAAAAAGCCAUGCCUUGAUCAUAUUUUCUUUCUCCAAUAUUAUAUCUCCUCCUUCCUUUAGGCCACUUUCAAUAAUUUGAAGAUGUUGUGAUAUAUCAUCACCCAUCUGUGUUGUCAACUGCUUCAGUGAUGAAUAGUCCUCUAAAAGUACUCUCCUAAUAUCUGAUCCCGAAUUGACCUCCCACAUCGAUGCAAGUUUAGAUGCCAGGUCCUCCGUGUUCAUUAUAUUUUCCCUCAAAUCAUGCUGAUCGAGCUCAUUUUUGGAGACAAACAUAAGCAGUGGGCACGUCUGAAUUGACAAUUUUGUAAGCAUUGCUGGAAGACAAGGUAAUAUCUUCAAUUUUGGAACAUUUUUUAGACACAGCCUAGUGCAAUGCCGUAGGAGCUCAGUAUUAGGUGGUAGGCCUUCUAACAAAGUGCAGCCAUUAAGCUUAAAACAUUCCAAAUUUUCAAAAUAGGAUGGCUCAAGUAACCACCUUGGAUAUGUGCCAGAUUUGUAGCCUUUGAUUGUGAGGCCACUAAGUUGGGGUGACGGUCUCAGACCUUCUAGAACAUCGAGAUGUAAAGUAUCCGCUGCAUCCAUUCCCUUCUCGCUACUCCAGGCAAGCCGCAACUUUUUAAGGCGAUUCUUCUUAUAUAGCAUGGACUCUAAGGCUUCUUCCUUUUCUGAAACAUUCUCAAGAUUUUCUACUUUUAAACUGCCACCAAGCUCAUUCAAGUCCUUCAGCUGCCACAACUCGCACCCUUGCUUUUUUUGCACAGAAAAGGUAUGCAUGUGUUGUAGCGAAGUUAGCUUGCCUAUAUUGGGAAUUUGAUGAAUAGAUUUUCCAGACAAGGUAGGUACGCAAUCGAUGUAUGCCCCCAAAUGUCGUAACUUACUUAAAUUGCAAAGCUUGUCAGGUAACCUCUCCACCAUUGUGUUUAACUGAAGUAACUGUAAGUGGUAAAGAGUACAUAAUGAUCUAGGCAAUUCAGACACUGAUGUUCUGAUGAGGUUCAAAUACCGAAGGUGCUUUAGCUCACCAACAGAUUCAGGCAACUUACUACUGUUGUAAAAUGACAAAUACAAUACACGUAACUUCUUCUGGUUCCGCAGCAUCUGAUCAAAAAUAUCGCUUGCAUCAUCCAUUAGUGGAUCAAUGCAGAUGAUAGUGCGUAAAUUCUGUAGCUUGUAGAUAAUUUGCUUAUGCUUUUGCAAACUCUCAACCUGAAGAGAGAGAUGUCGAACAGUGCAUGGUACUUCUCUGAUAUUAUCCUCUUCUAAUCUGAAGCAGUCUUCUACAGAGAGUGACUGUGCCAAAUCAUGAAGGAUGUCGUGCAUGAUAUAGUAUGAAUAACACUCUGUUUCAGAAACCAAUUGAAAGAAAGACCCAGAGACCAUCUCAUUGAAAUAAUCCCUCCCGACAUCUUCUAUUGUCCUGCUACUCAAAUUACAUGAACCAACAAGCCCUUCUGCCACCCAAAGGUAAAUCAACUCAUCAUGAUUAUAUCUAUGACCUUUGGGAAAUAAGCUGCAAUACAAGAAGCACCUCUGCAGACGUGGAUCUAACUUCUCAUAACUCCACAACAGAGCCAUGAAGGGCUCACUUAAAUCACUCAGCUUCAGUGCAGCUUUCCAUUCAGUGAUAUCUUUCUUUUUGCUUAAUCGGGAUCCUAGAACUUUUGCUACCAAAGGACACCGUCCAAGCCUUUUAGAAAUCACCUCUGCAGUAUGUUCCAGCUUACUAUAUAGAAGCUCGUCUCCAAUUUUUGGUCCAGAGAAAACAUGGUGUUUGAAGAGUGCAAGAAAGUCGGCAUCGUCCAUGUUUUCCAAAUGAACAACUUGUUCUAGUUCACAGUGAACAGCUGCUGGAAGUGUUGCACUUCGAGAAGUCACCAAAAAUUUGCUUCCUGACUGUUUAGAGAUUAAUGGAUCCAGGAGUUGAAACCACUCUGUCUCACUGUCAGAUUUUUCGAACCACACAUCAUCCAAGACAAGUAGGAAUUUCUCUGACUUCUGCAGUAUGUCACGUAAUUUGCACUGGAGAGUAUCAAGAUUACCAAUACAUGGGCACUCCCCAUUUGUUGCAGACUCAAUAAUCUUCCUUGUGUGACGGCGGACAUCAAGCUUGCGUGAGAUGCAGACCCAUAUCCUGACAUCAAAGCCUUCUUUUAUCCUCUUGUCAUUGUAGACAUACUGCGCUAAGGUGGACUUCCCCAUUCCUCCCGCUCCAACAAUGGCCAAACUGGAGUACCUAGUUGAACUUGCCUCGUCAGCUGCUGUCUUGCCAAGAAG